GUGAAGGGUGGCGUCAAGCUUUAAUCAAGUCCUAGAAGAAACAGAAGCCAAGACUUGGCCAGGGAGGCCAUUCCCAGAACAGGCUGCUCUCCACACCAAGGCCCUGCCCCAGCUCCCUUUCCAUGUCUUUCCAGGUGUGACUGCAGGCCUGUCCAGCCUGCCUUCCCCAACGGUACACGCCCUCCCACAGUGCCUCUGAGGCUGGUCCCCCAGAGCCUCUUUUUUUUUUUCCUCGGAGAGUCCCCUCCGGCUCUGUAUGGAGCUACCCCCCUAGAGACGGCUGUGUUGGCAGGGCGGAAAUUCAAGACUGACCAGAGCUCAAAAGAAAUCUAAGGUCCCUUCAGUCUCCAAACCCAGGGGGUUUUCUCUCCUUGCCGGGCCUCAGUCAGCAGUGUGGGUCAGACCUCCCCUACCUCCAACCCCCAUUGUGUACACUCUCCUAGCUAAUAAAAGUCUGGACUGGGGGCAUUGGAAGUGGUAGAAUGAUAGAAGACACAUCUCAGUUUAUAGAUUGCUCACAGAUUUGGUAGAGCCUCCAUCCACAGGAAGAACAGCAAAAGAAGGAGGUUUUGGAUUUUGACUCUGGAGACAGGCUGGUCAAGAGACAAAUUCUGUCUUCCCUCCCUUCCUAGCCGUGUGCAUGCAUGCCCACGGACUGUAGCCUGCCAGGAUCCUCUGUCCAUGGAAUUCUCCAGGCAAGAAUACUGAGAAUACUGUUGCCAUUCCCUUCUCCAGGGACCUUCCUGACCCAGGGAUUGAACUUGCCUCUCCUGCUUCUCCUGUAUUGGCAGGCAGAUUCUUUACCAGUGAGCCCCCUGGGAAGCCCUACUAGGUGCGUGGCCUUAGGCAAGUAACUUAAUGUCCUGGAUCCUAGUUUCCUUCCACCGUUAUCCUGAGGAUCAAAUGGAUCAGUGUGGAUGGAGGUGUUUUACAAGACUGUGUGCAGAUGUCCAGUGUCCCUUCUAAAUGACACAGGGGGACUGAGGGACACAGAGUUACAGGGGCCACUACAGACAGGUGGGGCAAUCAAGGAAGGCCUCCAAAGUUUGGAAAUGAGGGAGUGGAUUGCUGGGGAGAUGAGCAAAGGUACUCUGGUCUGUCUGGGAGGCAUGGCCAGGCUUUGUGGACUGGCUGGUACUCUCUGGUCUCAAGUGGGCCAGCAUCUUGCUGAGACUGGUUUGGGAGGCAUUUGUUUUUUAACAACUAGGUGGCAAAAUGGACUCCAUGGCCACAGCUUCUUUCAUCCUUCUCAGGAAGAAUUUCCCACUGGCCCUGUGUGGACACUGUCCAGCACUUCUGGGAAGAGAGGGAGGGCAAAGUGAAGCCUGAUUUCCCCAUGUUGCCCUGAUCUGCUCUGUUCCCUCAUCUCAGAGUUCACCAGAGGGAACAUUAGCCAGACACUGUGGCCCACCCCCCGCAACACACACACUGAAUGUGUACAAAAUGGUACCUCCAAGCCCCACCACUUUGGACCCUCCCAAGUCCCUGAUUUUAUGGUUCCUUAUCAAUGUCAGGAAUGUGCUAAAUUCAGACCAAUUUAGAUCUCUUGGCCUGUGGACCAGGGAGACUUUGAACAGGAGGGUCUUUUGUCUCUGAGCAGUCAUCCCUUGUUGUACACAAGCAAGAGUCAGGAGAGGGAAUGAUUUUGGCAUCAUCCCCCACAGAUAGCACUGGAGUCUUUCUGCCUGGAGGGAAGGGCCAGGCUGAGGCUGGCAUAUGGAGGGAGAGCCCUGGGCACAGGGGGCAUGAGCGUCACCCAGCUGGGGCUACCUUCUGCCGGGUUUGUCCAUCCGGCACCAGCUGGCUUCCCAGCACUGCCCCCGCAACCAACCAGACUCCUUCUUCUGCUGUUACCAUGGCAAUUGGCUGCCAUCUUGUACUCGGGGCACGAUCUCAUAUCCGGAUUUUCCCAUGGGGUUCCUGGAGGAUGGGAGAUAGUUCUCAGGGGAUUUAUCCUUCCUCCUAAUAUCCACCCAAUAAAAAUUCAUAUUAAUGUAUGAUUUUUUUAAAAAAUGGAGGCUUACUAUAUGUCAGGCUCUGCUAAAUACUCCCUGUGUUAUUUAAUAUGUGAGGUAAAUGAGGUUAAUGAGGUAAAAUUUAAGAGAGAACCACUCAGGUUCCUGUUUCUGUGACAGACUUCUCUCUCCAACUAGGAAAUUCCAUGAUCUUGCUUAUUCCUGUCUUGGAAAGUCCUUUCCAAUGUCUAACCAAGAUCUGUACUGCUGAAGUACCAGUUCUUUGACCUUUGGCUUGACAUGGCUAAUUUGAGAGGUACAGCUUCCCACUACCCAGGAAGGAAGGAAUUGGCCUUGAUUUUGGCAACCUCCUGCUUGUGUAAGCCCUUUCUUAGCCAUUGUCUCAGGUGAUCACACAAUGGUCCUGAAAAAUUAGUGGUGCUGUCCCCACUUUACAAAGGCAUAAUCGGAGCCCCAAGUCGAAGGACUAGGAAGUUGGAUUGGGCAUCAAAUGGGGCUUGGUGGAUUCCAGAGCACAUGCUGUCUCCCUCCCCUGUGCCGACUUCCUGCAGCACAUGUUCCAAACGUAGGCAGAGGGGCUGAAAGGAGAAGAGGACCAGAUGGGCAGGGGGACUUCUCUGCAUGUUCUCAGGGGAGGAAGGCCACUCCUUCUCAGGUGCAGGAGUGAAGUCUGAGGAGUGCUCAAACAGUCCUUGCAGGUUGAAGAUGUGGCUGGGCAAGAAGCCACAGGAGCUGUAGAAGUCAACAAAAUCUUUUCAGACCAAAAAGAAAAACCUACUUCAUCCAGUUGGCUUGGGUGCCCUGUGAGAAGCCUUCCUGAUUGACUGAAAGAUGAGGCUAAGUUCUAGCAAGUUUAGUGACUCCUUCAAGAAGCCUGUGUGCAGGAUGGAAGUGGAGAGGCCAUAGCCUCCAGCCUGGGCAGCCCAUUGGCACCUGGAGCCACCUUAACUUUGCCUCCCCUUUGCUCCUGUGUCUACAGGCUGUCCAUCCCAGCCCACCCUGGUUUCUCCUGUGUCUUCUGAACUGAGAUUUCUCUGAGAUGGAGGUCCCAUCUCAAGUCUAAUAAAGACUCUUGAUUACUGAA